rnacentral:sRNA from 1 species
UUCGUUCUUUAAGGAAAGAAUUAGUAUUUAAACUUUUCCCCUUUGAUAAUUGAGCAAUAAUAGUAAUAAAUAGUGGAACACAUCCACACAGGAGGAAACAAACAUGGAACAAGGUACAGUAAAAUGGUUUAACGCAGAAAAAGGAUUCGGAUUCAUCGAGGUUGAAGGUGGAGACGAUGUAUUCGUACAUUUCUCAGCUAUCCAAGGCGAAGGGUUUAAAUCUUUAGAUGAAGGUCAAAAAGUUACUUUUGACGUUGAGCAAGGUCAACGUGGACCUCAAGCUACUAACGUAAACAAGGCAUAAUUAUUAAAGGACUCUUUUAUAGAGUCCUUUUUU